AUGAAGCUAAGCAAAGUGCUGAAUAUUGUUGCGUCCAUGUCUUUGAUUUGUAUUACGCUAGACGUAGUGGUGCCUUCCUUCAUGGGGCCAAAGAGUUGCGCCAUGAAGACUGUUGAUCGGGCAGCAAGCACACACCGGUGUGCAGCAAACGUCUCGCCGCUGACGUCAAACAUCACGUCGGCACCCACCUUGGUUUGA
rnacentral:rRNA from 1 species